rnacentral:rRNA from 1 species
AGAGUUUGAUCAUGGCUCAGGAUGAACGCUGGCGGCGUGCCUAACACAUGCAAGUCGAGCGUGAACUCUCGGAACGAAACUUCGGUCUAGGGAAGAGGGGGAAAGCGGCGGACGGGUGAGUAACGCGUAGGUAACCUGCCCCAUACAUAGGGAUAGCCUAGGGAAACCUGGAUUAAUACCUAAUAAUGCGAAGAGAUCACAUGGUCUUUUCGCCAAAGAUUCAUCGGUAUGGGAUGGACCUGCGUCUGAUUAGCUAGUUGGUGGGGUAACGGCCUACCAAGGCAACGAUCAGUAGCCGACCUGAGAGGGUAAUCGGCCACAUUGGAACUGAGACACGGUCCAAACUCCUACGGGAGGCAGCAGUGGGGAAUAUUGCACAAUGGGCGCAAGCCUGAUGCAGCAACGCCGCGUGAGUGAAGAAGGUCUUCGGAUCGUAAAACUCUGUCCUUAGGGAAGAAACAAAUGACGGUACCUAAGGAGGAAGCCCCGGCUAACUACGUGCCAGCAGCCGCGGUAAUACGUAGGGGGCAAGCGUUAUCCGGAAUUAUUGGGCGUAAAGAGUACGUAGGUGGUUUUGUAAGCGUGGGGUGAAAGACCGAAGCUUAACUUCGGUUAGCCUUGCGAACUGCAAGACUUGAGUGCAGGAGAGGAAAGUGGAAUUCCUAGUGUAGCGGUGAAAUGCGUAGAUAUUAGGAGGAACAUCAGUGGCGAAGGCGACUUUCUGGACUGUAACUGACACUGAGGUACGAAAGCGUGGGGAGCAAACAGGAUUAGAUACCCUGGUAGUCCACGCCGUAAACGAUGAGCACUAGGUGUCGGGGUCGCAAGGCUUCGGUGCCGCAGUUAACGCAUUAAGUGCUCCGCCUGGGGAGUACGCACGCAAGUGUGAAACUCAAAGGAAUUGACGGGGACCCGCACAAGCAGCGGAGCAUGUGGUUUAAUUCGAAGCAACGCGAAGAACCUUACCAGGGCUUGACAUCCCUCUGACCGGCCGGUAACGCGGCCUUCCCUUCGGGGCAGAGGUGACAGGUGGUGCAUGGUUGUCGUCAGCUCGUGUCGUGAGAUGUUGGGUUAAGUCCCGCAACGAGCGCAACCCUUGUCAUUAGUUGCCAUCAUUUAGUUGGGCACUCUAGUGAGACUGCCGGGG